rnacentral:rRNA from 1 species
UACGAAGGGGGCUAGCGUUGCUCGGAAUUACUGGGCGUAAAGGGCGCGUAGGCGGACAGUUUAGUCAGAGGUAAAAGCCCAGGGCUCAACCUUGGAACUGCCUUUGAUACUGGCUGUCUUGAGUUCGGGAGAGGUGAGUGGAAUGCCGAGUGUAGAGGUGAAAUUCGUAGAUAUUCGGCGGAACACCAGUGGCGAAGGCGACUCACUGGCCCGAUACUGACGCUGAGGCGCGAAAGCGUGGGGAGCGAACAGG